UGGCGAACGGGUGAGUAACGCGUGAGGAACCUGCCUCAAAGAGGGGGACAACAGUUGGAAACGACUGCUAAUACCGUAUAAGCCCACGGCUCGGCAUCGAGCAGAGGGAAAAGGAGCAAUCCGCUUUGAGAUGGCCUCGCGUCCGAUUAGCUAGUUGGUGAGGUAACGGCCCACCAAGGCGACGAUCGGUAGCCGGACUGGGAGGUUGAACGGCCACAUUGGGACUGAGACACGGCCCAG
rnacentral:rRNA from 1 species